AGAAAUCCGUACAUUUCGUUUAUUUGAUCUUCGUUCUUUGUCUGUCCCUCCGCUCGCCGUCGCCUUUGUUCCUCGUCGUUUUGUUGGCCCCAGCACGCGAGUUUCUGGAUACGAAAAAAAAUGCAGGGAGGUGCACCGAACAACGGAAAUCCGUACGCCGGAUACCAGCGCGGCUACACGCCGCAGGAUGUUAUUCAAGGAUACCCGCAGCAGGCGGGCCGCGGCGGUGGCGCUGGCUACUAUCCCCCGCAUGCCCAGCAGCCGCCGCAGCCGCAGCAGAUGGCUUCCCAGCCGCCCCAGCAGGUGGCUGCGCAGCAGUACGGAGGCUACAGCCAGGCCUACAACCAGCCAUACGCUGCACGUGGCGGCUACCAGCCGACACCGCCUCAGCAGCAGGCACAGCUGCAGCAGGGCUAUGCUUCUCGCGGUGGCUACUACCAGGGCGGUGGCGCCUACGGUGGCGCCGGUAUCCAGCAGGGGUACCCCGGUGCUGCGGCUCCGAUGGGCCGCGGCGGCUAUGGGCAGGGCUACGGGCCGGGCUACUACCCGGUUCAGCAGCAGCAGGGCUACUACAACCAGGGCUACAACCAGAACCCCAACUACGCGCCGGCAGCGCGUGGUGGCUUCCAGGGCGGCGCGUACGGCGUCCAGCAGCAACCGCAGCAGCCACAGCGACCACAACAACCCCAGCAGCCGCAGCCGCAGCAGCAGCCGCAGCAGCAGCAGCAGCAGCAGCAGCAGCCCUUAAGCCAGCAGUACGGUCGCGGCGGGCGUGGCGGGCCGAGUGGGUUGCAGCGUGGCGGUCGCGGCGGUGGCCGUGGUCGUGGUGGGCGUAUGCUCGAGUCGUAUGCCGUCGUCCACCUCGACAGCUACGCGCAGCUGGAGGAGGUCGGACGCAAGGGGGCGACUGAAACGAUCGUCGCACCGGAGGUGCUCUCUGCGAUGCGUUCGCGUGUGCGCGGUAGCACGAUUCGGGUACUCGUCGUAAUCCAGAAGAAGUACGCUGCCGCCUGCCUGUCUAUCCCGCGCGGUCCCGAAGACACUCUCCUGUCGGAAAAGACAGCUGAGACGUUCGUGGGGGUCCCAUGCGUGAUUGUUGGCCAUGCUGAGCGCCUCGUCGACCUGGCCAACGGCGCAGCUAUCCAGGGCGCCGUGUUCAGCACUUUCCGCUCCCUCAUGAUGCUCCUGACGGCCUUUGACAAGCCACAGACGACGCCAGCGGGGGGCGAGCAGCCUGUAAACGUGCAUGAGAAGACCCGCGAUGAGCUGCUGGAGGCCAUCACAAAGGACAUCGCAACGUACGAAGCGCUGAUGACCGAGAUGGCGGCCGACUCAGAUGAGUCCACGAGGCUUUUCAGCCAUCUAAUGCGCCUCUCGGAUGCUGAGGAAGAUGGUCCACAGCAAGGCGAGGCCCACGAGGAGGGCGCGGACGCUGAAGUGGGCCACAAUAAAGACGAGGAGGGCGAGGAGGGCGAGGAGCAAAAAGCAGCGGCCGCUGAAAAGCCCGCCGAGGGCUCCGCUGCACCAAAGAAGAUGGUGAAGCGCACGCUCAUGUCAUCGCCGCAGGGUAUCCGCAUCCUGCGCGCUGCUCUCGCCGUCAGCAGAAAACGACAGGUCUUCUUUGAGAAGAUCGUGCCGCCGCCGCCGAACCCGGAAGCCAACCCGCUUAACCGCAUCGAAUGGAGCGCCUCGCUGCGGCUCAUCGACCCGCUGUUGCACUACCCGCUUCUGUCAGACCUAGUCUUCCAGUUUUUCGGCGUUGUCCCGGUCGGUAGGGAGGCCGCGAAGCCGGCGAAGGCGAAGGCACAAGAGGUGAAGGCGUUGUGCGAUGCAAUCGCCCGCUACGGUGUGCAGCUGACCAGCUCCGCCAGCUGCGGCAACACCAUACUGGCCCUGCUGCAGGCCAUGGAUCCUCAGCACGCCAAGAUCAGCGUGGCUGAGCGGGCCGCGGAGGAGAUCAACAGGAAGCCUGGACUGAAGCGCAGCCGCGAGGCGGAGGAGGGUGACGCAAAUGCCGACGACGGCGCGCAGAAGGCAAAGACGGAGGAGGCACCAGAGGGGGAGAGGGAAGCGGCGUCGGAGUCGCCGGCGGCGAAGCAGGCCCCCAGCAGCCUCGCAGAGUACAAGGCCUCGGUUGGGCCGGUGGACUGGCGUCUACACUACGCCGUCGCCGAGUCGUGGUGCACCGGCGAGCAGCCGGUGCCGGGCCGCAAGCGCACGCGCUUCACCACGCAGGCGCAGCUGGACGCCGACGCUGCUGCGGCGGAUAAACCCGCAACGGUCGAGUCCCGCCUGCGCUACGUUGGCCACCACCUGAUCGGUUCUUUCGUUCUACGCUACAUGAUCCCUAUCUUCGCCGACGUCAUCCUUUCCUCGCUCAAGAACCCCGCUAGUCGCAAGAAGAAGGAGCACGAUGCAUUUGUGCAGCAGUGCGAAACAAUUCUGUCCACGAUGGCAGGCGCAUGGUCGACCAAUGACGCCAGCUUCAUAGGAGGAAACGUCUACCGAAACCUUCUGACAAGCCUUGCCAGCCGCGCUGUGCCCGGCACCCCCAUCGAGGCGUAUCUGCGCAAGCUGCUUAACGGCAUCGUCAACACAAUCUUCGAGUCGUCGAAGGAGAAAUACCUCUCUCACUGCGUGCAGGAGGCGCUGACGGUGGCUCGACAGACGAAGGAUGGCGGGCGGUUCACGCUGGAGGUCGCACGUGCGUUGAUGGAGAAGGCCGACGAGUCGUUCAUGAACCUCGCCAUCAGCCCCUCCGGCAACUACGUGGUGCGCCACCUGUGCGGACAACUGACGGACUACGCCACGGGCAAGGUGGCUGCCGAGUCGGAAGUGGUGGCGGAAGCCAAGGAGUUGGAGGCGAAGUAUUACGCCUUCAUGACAACCAACUUGGGGAAGCUCAGCAGAAUUCAGUACGGCAGGGGUCUCGCCGGCUGGCAAAGCGAGCAGUCCGCCCGCCUCGGUGCCGCAAGCGCCCCGGGUGCGACGAGUGAGCCGAGCUCUCCCAACGCUGAGUAGCCAUGCCCACUUCCUUUUAUCUUGACUAAAGAGCAAUGCGCCCCCGCCAUUAUAGACGUCACUUCUCGUCCUUUUGUGUGUGUGUGUGGGUGGGUGGGUGGGUGGGUGGGUGGGGGGGCGUAUCGCCUUGUCUUUGACUCAUGAUCUUCGUUCUCCUCUCAUUUCUCUGGCUACCGCGGUCGUCCGUCUUCUUCCCUCGAAGCGGAGUCGCGUGUUUUUGUAUCUGUAUGUGUAUUUACGUGUGUGUGUGUGUAUGUAUGUCGGUGUCUCUCCGAGGCAGUCUCACAGCUGGAAAACAAGUCAAGGAGCCGAGAAUCGAACUGUACACCCCCUCCCUCUCUUCUGUACCUGCACUGAGAAAGCAGCAGCAACAACAUAGGAGCACGUGCUCGGCGCAAGAAGGAAGAGGUGAAGCUAACGUAUGCCAUGGUGGGGCGUAUUCUUUACACGGCAGCGGUGCAAAGAAGGCGUGUGCAGACACACGUAGGCCAGGGUGGAGGCGAUAUUUGUAGCGAAACGCUGGGGAGGGAAGGGUGGUUUUGGCCGUGGACGAGCGGCCUGUAGCGCAAACACGGGGGAAACGGAAAGGGGCGUAGUGCAUUCUUUCCUCGUCUCGGUGUAGCGACACUGUUCUUCCUGUGAUGUUCUUUUUGUUAGUUUGGCGUGUUGGGUGGAUAAACCGCAGGAAACGAAGGGGCUCUUUGGAUGGCAAGGAGAGCUGCAAGUGUUAUGUAGCGCUCUGAGCACCCGUUGUUUGUCUGUCUCUCUCUGUUUGUCUUUUUUCGUUGAUUUUUUGCGCACGCGCGUGUGCUGACGUCGGUAUACAUAUAGAUGUAUUUAUAUAUACAUGUAUGCAUAUAUAAAUAUGUGUAUAUAUAUAUAUUGUUGUUGGUUUCCUCUUUUCCUCUUUGCUCUUCUGUUUGUACUCGUGAAACUUGGGGUGAGGUGGGAGAGAGGAAGCGGAGGAGGACGACUGGAAAGAACAAGCACGAGGACCUCCUCCUGCAGCUCGUCGGUGCUCCCUUACUAUUAUUUAUUUAGUUAUUAUUAUUUUUCCUUUUGUGUUCUUGAGGGGGCGGGGGAUGUUUGCUCUUUUUCCGUCGCAUAUGCGCGUGCGUCAGCGAGCGUUCCAGCUUGCACUUUGGCCUCCUCGCCUUUUCAAACAUCUCUGUGUGUGUGUGCGCGCGCGCCUUUGUAUCGAUCUCGUUUUCUUGUCUCUCUGCGUCUCUCAAGAGAUGCUACUGCAUGCCACAUGAACAGUCUCGCUGUGUCAGGGGAGGUAACGUGUUGAUGCAGGUGGUGUAUGCGUGUGCGUGUCUGUGUGUUUGAGUUUGUGCUUGUAAGAAGAUCCAUGUGUUGUCGAUUGUGUAAGUAUGUGUGUAUGUGUGCUAUGUGUCUCUCUGAGCACUCAGGUGCGCUUCUUGGUCUUUUUUAUUCUGCCCUCCUCCCUCCCCUCCGCCUGUUCCCCUCUUCUCCACGUUCGCAGUGUGCCCCCCCUCUCCCUGCCGCUACCGCUCCUCUCUCCCGUUCCCGCACCGUCGACGCGUGUGUGAUGCAUUGGAUGUGUGGUUGCAAGAGGGGAGGCAAAGGGCGGCAGAGGGUGGCAGUGAGGCGCACAUGCAGGCGUUUCGACACACACAGCAACACACCCGGUCUGGCGAAGGAGGAACUGGGGGAGGGAUGAGAGAGCACCGUUGUUUUGUUUCUUCAUGGUGUUUAUUUAUCUUGAAUAGAGGAUCUUGUAGGGAAAAAAAUUGUCCAGUGAAGCGUCGACAGGGCGCACAAAAAAGAAAAAGAUGAAGGAUUGCUUGUUUGGUUGUACGCGAUAUGCAGUUCUCUUUCUUGUGCUCAUGUGAGCCUAAGGCGUUAAACAUGUGAGUCGCUGUGAAACUGAGAAAACCACCCUUGCAACAAAAUAGAAUGCGGGGAUGCUUAGGGAGAAAGUAGGGAGAUGGGCAGACGAGCGGCGUUGCUGCGGGUUAAUGGCGGUGUGCGCCAUGCCCAGGGUGAUAUCCUCUCGGUUGAGUCUGCAUGUCUCUCUCGCUUCGCCCUCCUCCCGUGCGGACGCGUUCACUUGGUGUCUCCCAGCACUCUGAAGGCGCAUGCGCACAGUUGUGGUGCAGCCACGAUGCGCACCUACGCGCUUGUGCGUGCGUGCGUGCGUGUGUGUGUGUGUUCUUCUGGCGUAUCCACGAGGGUGAGAGCGUCUCCUGCUCUCCUGUUUUCCUUGCUGGAUCACUCUGACCUCCAACGGCCUCAACCCACGCACAGGGCGGAGGCGUGACGGCGUGCGGCUCAUGCCAGGCCCGGUGCCUUGCUGGAGGAGACAGAUAGAGAGAGCUACACAGAGGGAAGAAAGCUCUUUUGUUCGACUGCCCUUUUUUAUUUUGCUGCCGUCCAAGCAGUGCUAGGCGAGUGUUGGGCCUCUUCGGCGCCGGAGAGCAC
rnacentral:misc_RNA from 1 species